UUUCUUUCUACCUUCUUUUUUUUGUCCUUUCCUUUUUCUUUUUGAUCUGCUAAGAAAGAGAUAAAGAGAUAAAUAGGGAGAGGGAGAGAGAGAGAGAGAGAGAGAGAGAGAGAGAGAGAGAGAGAGAGAGAGAGAGAGAAGGUGUGUAGAU